rnacentral:rRNA from 1 species
UACGGAGGGUGCGAGCGUUAAUCGGAAUUACUGGGCGUAAAGAGUGCGUAGGCGGCACGUUAAGUCAGAUGUGAAAGCCCUGGGCUCAACCUGGGAACUGCAUUUGAAACUGGCGAGCUAGAGUUGAGUAGAGGUAAGUGGAAUUUCAGGUGUAGCGGUGAAAUGCGUAGAUAUCUGAAGGAACACCAGUGGCGAAGGCGACUUACUGGACUCAAACUGACGCUGAGGUACGAAAGCGUGGGUAGCAAACAGG